GGUGCCUGGGUGGCUCAGUCGGUAGAGUGUCCAACUCUUGAUUUCGGCUCAGGUCAUGAUCUCAUGGUUCAUGAGUUUGAGCCCCACAUUGGGGUCUGCACCAACAGUGCGGAGCCGGCUUGGGGUUGUCCCUCUCUCUCUCUGUAUCUCUCUCUCUCUCUCUCUCUCUCUCUCUCUCCCUC